GGUUUUCACACUUCCUUCCGAAUCCCACUCCCACGUUCUGCCUCUACACUUCUUUAUAUAUCACUUUGCAAUCCCGAUUGGAACUCCUCUCACUCUAAUCAUAGAUAACCCUAACCAUCACCACUGACAAUCAUCGCACAACCACCACCGCAACGAGGGGAACGGGCCGGCAACCAUCACACCACCACUCCGAUGACGGCCGCACUAGCGGCGAACUAUCAGCACUCGAUUGUCACAUCACUCCUCUCUGCGAUCGUUUUCAAUCGGAAGGUUUAAUGACGGAUUGUUAUCGAAUGUAAUCGUGAUGGCUAAUACUGUUUGUUGAAAUUAAGGAAGCACUUGAGUUGCUAGAGGAACUGGAUGAAGCAUUGGGACUGCAAAAACUUGUGGAAGCAUUGCAAGUUAGGAUCACUAGGUUUACAUUUGAAGGAAAAUCACAAGAGUUCUAUGGAGGCUGCAAGAAGUUCUAAGUAUUAAGGCGAGGCAAUUAGCGGCUUCUAGUCUCUGGUGUCUCCUUUUUCAAUUGGAUUUUAAAGUAAUUGACAGUGAUGCUUCCGAUUUAAAUCAUAAUUGUGCAGUUCUGAUAAGAGUAAAUUUCAUUUGUGCUGCAAGGUAAUGGAAAUAUGAUAAAAUUGUUACCUGUUGGUUAUAUGAGUCAACGUCAUAGUCAAAGCUCCUACUCCUCUCAUGAUUUCCCUAACUCAAAAGGAGAAGGUGUCAUGGGUUUCCAAUGAAGGUGGUUAGCUUGGUAUUUCACAUUUUCACUCAUUCCAUGAAGAGCUUUGUUAACCCAGUCAAUUUGUUGUUGCUUGCAGUUAAAAGGGAUGUAUCGAAUGGUAAAGACAACUGAUCGGGCACCGGCUUCUUCAGUUAACUAGGGCAGUUUAUCUUUACGAAAACUCUUCAUCCGGGGAUAAUUCUGAUGAUAUGCUAUCUGACAUUCGUAACCCAAGAACCAAAGAACGAUCAGCUGAAAAAUAGAGGAAGGUCUAGAGUUUACCAGGAGAAAUAUUAUCAGUAUAGUCUAUGGAGCAAUUCUUCAAGGUGAAAACUUUGUUUUAUUUGUUUAUACUUUUGUUUUCAUUUUAAGAUACUUGACGAAACAUUUUUUUAUAAAAUAAAUGGUACAUAGUAAACUCCACAAGCUAAACCUCUUCCCCUCAC
rnacentral:lncRNA from 1 species